UUUAUGGAGAGUUUGAUCCUGGCUCAGGAUGAACGCUGGCGGCGUGCCUAAUACAUGCAAGUCGAGCGAACAGACGAGGAGCUUGCUCCUCUGACGUUAGCGGCGGACGGGUGAGUAACACGUGGAUAACCUACCUAUAAGACUGGGAUAACUUCGGGAAACCGGAGCUAAUACCGGAUAAUAUAUUGAACCGCAUGGUUCAAUAGUGAAAGACGGUUUUGCUGUCACUUAUAGAUGGAUCCGCGCCGCAUUAGCUAGUUGGUAAGGUAACGGCUUACCAAGGCAACGAUGCGUAGCCGACCUGAGAGGGUGAUCGGCCACACUGGAACUGAGACACGGUCCAGACUCC
rnacentral:rRNA from 2 species